rnacentral:rRNA from 1 species
UGGGGAACAUUGCACAAUGGGCGAAAGCCUGAUGCAGCAACGCCGCGUGAGUGAUGAAGGUCUUCGGAUUGUAAAGCUCUGUCUUUUGGGACGAUAAUGACGGUACCAAAGGAGGAAGCCACGGCUAACUACGUGCCAGCAGCCGCGGUAAUACGUAGGUGGCGAGCGUUGUCCGGAUUUACUGGGCGUAAAGGGUGCGUAGGCGGAUGUUUAAGUGAGAUGUGAAAUACCCGGGCUUAACUUGGGUGCUGCAUUUCAAACUGGAUAUCUAGAGUGCAGGAGAGGAGAAUGGAAUUCCUAGUGUAGCGGUGAAAUGCGUAGAGAUUAGGAAGAACACCAGUGGCGAAGGCGAUUCUCUGGACUGUAACUGACGCUGAGGCACGAAAGCGUGGGUAGCAAACAGGAUUAGAUACCCUGGUAGUCCACGCCGUAAACGAUGAGUACUAGGUGUAGGAGGUAUCGACCCCUUCUGUGCCGCAGUAAACACAUUAAGUACUCCGCCUGGGAAGUACGAUCGCAAGAUUAAAACUCUAAAGUGAAUUGAC